rnacentral:rRNA from 1 species
GACGAACGCUGGCGGCGUGCAUAACACAUGCAAGUCGAACGGACAGACAGAGAGCUUGCUCUCUUGAAGUUAGUGGCGAACGGGUGAGUAACGCGUAAUCAACCUGCCCUUCAGAGGGGGAUAACGACGGGAAACCGUUGCUAAUACCGCGUACGAUUCAUGAACGGCAUCGUUUAUGAAUGAAAGGUGGCCUCUAUGUAUAAGCUAUCGCUGCAGGAGGGGAUUGCGUCUGAUUAGCUAGUUGGAGGGGUAACGGCCCACCAAGGCAAUGAUCAGUAGCCGGUCUGAGAGGAUGAACUGCCACAUUGGGACUGAGACACGGCCCAAACUCCUACGGGAGGCAGCAGUGGGGAAUCUUCCGCAAUGGACGAAAGUCUGACGGAGCAACGCCGCGUGAGUGAUGAAGGUCUUCGGAUUGUAAAGCUCUGUUAAUCGGGACGAAAGAGUUCUGCGUGAAUAAUGCAGAAAAGUGACGGUACCGGAAUAGAAAGCCACGGCUAACUACGUGCCAGCCGCCGCCGUAA